rnacentral:lncRNA from 1 species
AGUGUAUCCAUGGAUAGGUUCAUAACUAAUUAUUUCUCCACAUAAUUUCUAGCAAUUAGAUUUUGCCCCAGGCAUCCCUUCAGAAGGCGUGUGGCACCUCCAUUGAAAAUCUUAGUUAGGUCCAACCAUUAACAUGAUAACAUCAAGUGCAUCCAAGAAAUAAAUAUCCAGGACCAAGUGUGGCUCGACCAACCUGAGCAUUGAUCUGAAGGUACAAUAAGAUGGUCAUAUGAUGGAUGAUAAUUUCAAUAUGUAAUAGACACCAGGUGUGUGGCACCUCCAAUGCUUAUUUGGAAUAUUGGACUUAUUAUUACGUACCUUAGUGGGAGGCUAU